UGCAGUCGAACGAUGAACACCGGAGCUUGCUCUGGUGGGAUUAGUGGCGAACGGGUGAGUAACACGUGAGCAAUCUGCCCCCGACUCUGGGAUAACCCCGAGAAAUUGGAGCUAAUACCGGAUACGACACCUCCUGGCAUCAGGUGGGUGUGGAAAGAAUUUCGGUUGGGGAUGAGCUCGCGGCCUAUCAGCUUGUUGGUGAGGUAAUGGCUCACCAAGGCGACGACGGGUAGCCGGCCUGAGAGGGUGACCGGCCACACUGGGACUGAGACACGGCCCAGACUCCUACGGGAGGCAGCAGUGGGGAAUAUUGCACAAUGGGCGCAAGCCUGAUGCAGCAACGCCGCGUGGGGGACGAAGGCCUUCGGGUUGUAAACCUCUUUUGGCAGGGAAGAAGCGAAAGUGACGGUACCUGCAGAAAAAGCACCGGCUAACUACGUGCCAGCAGCCGCGGUAAUACGUAGGGUGCAAGCGUUGUCCGGAAUUAUUGGGCGUAAAGAGCUCGUAGGCGGUGUGUCACGUCUGCUGUGAAAAUCCAAGGCUCAACCUUGGACUUGCAGUGGGUACGGGCACACUCGAGUGCGGUAGGGGAGAUUGGAAUUCCUGGUGUAGCGGUGGAAUGCGCAGAUAUCAGGAGGAACACCGAUGGCGAAGGCAGAUCUCUGGGCCGUAACUGACGCUGAGGAGCGAAAGCGUGGGGAGCGAACAGGAUUAGAUACCCUGGUAGUCCACGCCGUAAACGGUGGGAACUAGAUGUGGGGUCCGUUCCACGGAUUCCGUGUCGCAGCUAACGCAUUAAGUUCCCCGCCUGGGGAGUACGGCCGCAAGGCUAAAACUCAAAGGAAUUGACGGGGCCCGCACAAGCGGCGGAGCAUGCGGAUUAAUUCGAUGCAACGCGAAGAACCUUA
rnacentral:rRNA from 1 species